AUACGUAGGGUGCAAGCGUUAAUCGGAAUUACUGGGCGUAAAGCGUGCGCAGGCGGUUUUGUAAGACAGUGGUGAAAUCCCCGGGCUCAACCUGGGAACUGCCUUUGUGACUGCAAGGCUGGAGUGCGGGAGAGGGGGAUGGAAUUCCGCGUGUAGAAGUGAAAAGCGCAGAUAUGCGGAGGAACACCUGGCGCGAAGGCGAUCUCCGCGACGUACAUUGAGGCUCGUGCACAGUAGCGUGAGGAGCACACAGGAUUAGAUGCCCUGGUAGUCCACGCACUAAAAGAUGUCAAGUGGGUGUUGGGGAUAUAUUUUCUCAGUUUCGAAGAAAUCGCGUGAAGUUUACCGCCUGGGGAGUACGGCCGCAAGGUUAAAACUCAAAGGAAUUGACGGGG
rnacentral:rRNA from 1 species